CCACCCGUAGCUCAGUUGGUAGAGCAUCGAGCUUAUACCUCGAGGGUCCCACGUUCGAGCCGUGGCGGGUGGA
rnacentral:tRNA from 1 species